AGAAAUAAAGGGCAAAAAAAUGAUUUUUGUUUUCAAAGCUGUAACUUUUUUUUCUACUUCUAGGGUAUAUGAGGCUAAAGAAUGUGAAAGCUUCUUUGUUGGGCUUAAAAAAGCAGUUAAGUGACUAUAACAGAUCCUACAAAAGUUGAGCAUAGAAUCAUGAUAAAAAUGC